rnacentral:pre_miRNA from 2 species
UCUUUCUUCAGAGUGGCCGUGAAAUGUUUCUUUUUAAGUACCCAUAUCACAGCCAGCUUUGAGGAGCGAUA